UUUUUUUUGAGAUGGAGUCUUGUUCUGUCGCUCAGGCUGGAGUGCAGUGGCACCAUCUCAGCUUAUUGCAACCUCUGCCUCCCAGGUUCAGGCAAUUCUCUCUGCUUCAGCCUCCUGAGUAGCUGGGAUUACAGGCAUGCUCUACCACACCAGGCUAAUUUUUAUAUUUUUUAGUAGAGAUGGGGUUUCAUCAUGUGGGCCAGGCUGGUCUCGAACUCCUGACCUCAGAUGAUCUGUCCACCUCAGCCUUCCAAAGUGCUGGGAUUACAGGCAUGAGCCACCAUACCCAGCCAAGAAAAGAGGUUUCUUUGGCUCAUGAUUUUGCUGGCUGGGAGACUGGGCAUCUGGUGAGGGCGUCCACUCGCACGACACAAACACUUCCUGUUAGGUCUCACCUCCAACACUGGGGAUCAUAUCUCAAUACUGGAGAUGGUGGGGACAAAUAUCCAAACGAUAGCAUCCGGCUCUGUGUCUGGAAGAAGUGUGUUGUCCACACACAUGCACAAAGACAUGUCCACUCUGGAUCUCCUCACGGGGGAUUUGUUGAAAUGCAGAUUCUGAUUCAGGAGGUCUGGGAUAAGGCCCGAAGUGCCACAUUUCUAACAAUUUCCCAAGAGAGGCUGCUGCUUCUGUGCUUGGACCAUUUCUUUGCAUAGUGAAGUUUAGAGCAGGUGCACAGACCCAAACACCUGCAUGAACCAGACAGGUGAUGUGGGAGCCCAGGUGUGGGACAUGGGAAGUGGUGGGUCACUCAUGGGCUAGGCUUGCCCCGCCUAGCAAGCUACAGUUUCUCUCUUCCUUUUUUGAGGUGGAGUCUCGCUCUGUCACUCAAGCUGGAGUGCAGUGAUGUGAUCUUGGCUCACUGCAACCUCCACCUCCCAGGUUCAAACCAUUCUCCUGCCUCAGCCUUCCAAGUAGUGGGAUUACAGGCGCGCGCCACCAUACCCAGCUAAUUUUUGUAUUUUUUAGUAGAGACGGGGUUUCACCAUGCUGGUCAGGCUGGUCUCAAAUUCCUGACCUCAGGUGAUUGGCCUGCCUUGGCCUCCCAAAGGGCUGGGAUUAUAGGCAUGAGCCACUGUGCCUGGCAAGCUACAGUUUCUAUAAAAGCACUGUUCCAUAAAGAAACACAUCUGCACACUGAAUUCAGCUCUUGGCACCUGGUUCAGACCUCUGCUCUAGAGUCCAGAUCUCUGGAGUUUGCAGUUAAACUAAUCUGGUCACUCACUGAGUCCUUCAGUAGCCUCCCAGCGAGCAGUUGACCUGCCAGGACUGUUACAGGAGUGGGUAGCUGCCACUUUGGACCGGCUUGUCCCAUUGUUGAGAAGGAGUGUGAGUGUGCCAGUGUUUAAGUGCCUGCACCAUCCUCGCUUUGUGCAUGAUUCCAUUUGAAGAAGUGGUUCUUCUCAUCUAUCUCGAAGUGGUUCAUCCGCUUCAUUUUACAGAUGAGGACAGUGGAGCUGGAGUUUAAACAGUCACGGCAGCCCAACUACUGCUCUGUGAAGCGGGGAUUGAAACUCAGGACUGGCAGCCUUUGCCCAUCUGCUGCGCUUUAACAAAGUAUCUGAGACUGGGUAAUUUAGAAAUAAUAGACAUUUAUUUCUCACAGUUCUGGAGGUUGGAAAGUCCAAAAUCAAGGUACUGGUAGGUUCAGUGUCUGGUGAGGGCCUGGUCUCUGCUUCCGAGAUGGUGACUUGAACACUGUGUCUUCACAUGGAAUGGACAGAAGAGCACAAAAGGGCUGAACUCACUCUGUCAAGCCCUUAUAUAAGGGCACUAAUCUGAUCCAUGAGGACGAAGCCCUGAUGGCCUUAUCACCUCACAAAGGCCCUACAGCUCAAUACUGUCAUUUUGGGAGUUAAGUUUUUCUUGUUUGGUUUUGAGAUGGAGUCUCGCCCUGUCGCCAUGCUGGAGUGCAGUGACAUGAUCUUGGCUCACUGCAACUGCCAACUCCCUGGUUCAAGCAAUUCUCCUCAGCCUCCUGAGUAGCUAGGACUACAGGCACGAGCCACCAUGCCCAGCUAAUUUUUGUAUUUUUAGUAGAGACAGGGUUUCACCAUAUUGGCCAGGAUGGUCUCGAUCUCCUGACCUCAUGAUCCACCCGCCUCGGCCUCCCAAAGUGCUGGGAUUACAGGUGUGAGCCACCUCACCCAGCUGGGAGUUAGUUUUGACACCUAAAUUUUGUAGGGGACACUGCUACUCACACCAAAGCCCUCUCUGAAUAAUACAGGGCUACUGUUUACUGUCUCUGUGUGCCAGGCACAUGCAUUAGUUCUAAUCUCACAGAAAUCCUGCAAGGUAUGUGGAAUGAUUCCUAUUUUACAGAUGUGUAAACCAAGGCUCAGAGGUUAAAUAACUGGCCCAAGGAUACAGAGAGUGGUGGAGCCAUGGUGUGAGCCCGUAUCUAGCUGACUCCAUUCCCCUAACCCAUGCUGGUGGAGCCGUGGUGUGAGCCCGUAUCUAGCUGACUCCAUUCCCCUAACCCAUGCUGCAGGGACAGCUGGUUUCUGGCAUCAAAACCUAGGGGUGGCCUGAGGAUGAAGAGGGGUUACCAGAAGUGGGACUUCAGCGAAUUGUCUCCUUUCUUUUUUUCUUUUCUUUCUUUCUAAGACAGAGUCUCGCCCCGUUGCCUGGGCUGGAGUGUAGUGGUGCAAUCUCGGCUCACUGCAAUCUCCGCCUCCUCCUGGGUUCCAGCAAUUCUCCUGCCUCAGCCUCCCCAGUAACUGGGAUUGUAGGUACCUGGCAUCCCGGGUUACACAUCUGCAACAUUUAUUUUUUAAAGGAAUGGAUUUUGAGAGAAAACAACGUGGUGCAAAAAUAUGGAAUAGAAAAUAAAUACAAAUGUAGGCUAUUUUGCUAAUUGUUUUAUAACCACAACAAACUAGUACAGAGAAUGCCCUGUACACAACACAAAGGUUCAAACAUCAAGGUGUUCCCUUAGCAAGGCUGAAAAUUUCAGUCUCUGGUAUUUGGAAUUUAGGCUGCAGUCCUUUUUUGGAUGGAUCACUGGGUGUGUGGCACAACAGUCCAUGCUUUUUUUUUUUUUUUUUUUUAUUAAAUGGAGUCUCAUUCUGUUGCCCAGGUUGGAGUACAAUGGCCUGAUCUCAGCUCAAUACAACCUCCACCUCCCAGGUUCAAGUGAUUCUCCUGUCUCAGCCUCCCGAGUAGCUGGGAUUACAGGUGUGCACUACCACACCCGGCUAAUUUUUGUAUUUUUAGUAGAGAUGGGGUUUCACCAUGUUGGCCAGGCUGGUCUUGAACUCCUGACCUCAGGUGAUCUGCCCACUUUGGCCUCCCAAAGUGCUGGGAUUACAGGUGUGAGCCACCGUGCCGGGCCUCUUUGGUGUCUUUCUGAAUGUUAUAAUCAGGAUAUGGCCCCUGUGAGCCUGGUAGCCAUGGACAUCCACCCACCCUCACCCCGACCUGCUGAAGACAUAUCCCGGGUUCAGAAUCCACAAAGGUGAUGGCUAUGGCAGAAUCUGUCCCUACUUGGUGGAGCCUAUGCAGUCAUUUGUCAAAGCAGACACCACGGGCGUCAUGGACGUAGAACUUAAUUUCUUCCCUUUUGUCUUUGAAAAGUUUGUGAUGUGGUAAAAGAGACACUGCAGGGAGCAUGGAUUUCCAGAAUUCUGUUGAUUUUUGUAUGUUUGUUUAUUUAACCCAGGAUAUACGAGAAGUUCUAUUUAUGAGCAGGGAUAAAAGUGGGGCCUAUGGCUUAUGAUUUCUUUUCUUUUGAGACAGAAUCUUACUCUGUUACCCAGGCUGGAGUGCAACGGUAUGAUCUUGGCUCACUGCAACCUCCGCCUCCCUGUUCAAGCGAUUCUCCUGCCUCAACCUCCCAAGUAGCUGGGACUACAGACCAUCACGCCCAGCUAAUUUUGUAUUUUUAAUAGAGACAGGGUUUCACCAUGUUGGCCAGGCUGGUCGAGUUCAAAACUCCUGGCCUCAAGUGAUCCAUCCACCUCGCUCUUCCAAAGUGCUGGGAUUACAGGCAUGAGCCACCACGCCAGGCCAGCUUAUGAUUUCUUUAUGAUGAAUGAAAUGAGGUAACCUUGUGUUCUCCCAAGUAACACACACACACACACACACGUGUGCGCGCUCACAUACAGGUAUGUACAGGCAUUCACAUGUGUGUACAUCUGCAGAGAGCCAGAUUUUUAUCCCAAAUCACUCUCAGGAAUCUGGGUUAUCCACCUUUGACUUUUCGCCCCCAAAUCUAGUCUUUUGAAUAUGCUUCAGCAUGAUCGUUAGGGAACUGGGAGGCAGUGCCUCUCCUGUGCUUGGCCCUCUGUUCAGGCUGCACAUGGCAGGAGGGUGGAGUUAGAGGAAAUGGCCGGGAAUGGUGGAGACUUUUAGCCAAAGGUGCUGGUGGCAGGCUUCCCAGAACUUUGAGGUUGAAAGAGGUUUUGUUGAGCUCAGCAGAUGUCUCCUGGGAAAACCUUUCCCCGGGCUUGAUUUAAUACUGACCCCAAAUGACUUGAAUCAGACAGGCAGGAAUUAUAGCUACAAUAGAGCAGUUACGAUUACAGCAUGCUUCAGAAAAAGAUAAGUAAACACAGUUUUUAUGUCACCGACAUCUUCCCCCAUGCCUGUUUGUUGGCUUCGCACCUGGGCUAUAUGACAACCUUUUCCUGCCUGCAGCACUCAGUGACCCGCAGGCCUCCCAGAGCCACGGACACUUUUCAUCUUUGAAGCCUGUGCUGAAUUCUAGGGUCCUCUCCUGCUGCAGCCACUGUCGGGCCCACUCAGGACACCGUGCAGUGCAGGGCUUCUCAGUGUGCACCGAGAUUGUGCUCCAUUCCCUUCUUUUCUCCCUUCCACUUUACAAGUGGGGAGAUGGACACCCUCAGGUGUCCAGAGCGCCGGCAUCUUCACAGACAGAGGGCUGGAGUUUACACACAUUCUGCGUUUUCUGGUCAUGUUCCCCACUGUCCUCCGGGUCCACCAAGGACAGGAAAGGUGUCGUAGGAAAGGUGGGUGCCCUACUUUCUGAGAUGCUCAGAAAGAGCGUCUUUCUCCACCCUCAUCCCCUCUCGGGCUGGCUCUAGGCCCAGGUUCGCCUGCCCUGGGGGUCCAAGGCUGGGCAAUGGGCUUCUUGGGAAAGCAAAGGGGUCAAGCCUAGUUGCUAGUAGCAUAGAUGAUUGAAGCUGGAAGGGCCUUAGACUACUACUAGUUCUAGACUCUCACUGGACAGAAAAGGCUUCGAAGGAUGCCCCUCGAAACCCGAGGAAGUGGCUGAAAGGGCCUUGGGAUCUACUCUGGGGUUGCCUCUCCCCACUUCUGUGACUUGGUGUAGGAACUCUGAGCUUCGGUUUUCUCCUCCAUGCACUGAAGAUGAUGCCUACUGCCUAGUUUUCUUGUGGGUCAGUGAGAUAAUCCAGGCAUUCUACAGGGGAGAAAUUAGCAGGUGUUCUGUUAGUUCGCUCUUCUAAUCUCUCCCUCCUUAUUUUUCUUAUGAGUCCAAUUCUCCACACAGACCAUUUUCCCCACUAGGCUAUAAAUUCCUGGAGAUCAGGGACCCCAUGAAAUUCAUCUUGGGUUUCUCAACACCUGGGGACAGUGCCUGGCAUCGACCAGCAAGGUUUCAAAUAACCUGUGUUGGGCAACCUGUCAGAGCACGAAUGUUCCCAGAAGACUGGACAACAGCCCUUGGGGAACGCCCAGCAGCUGGCAAGUCUGGGACUUCACAGCCAGUUUCCUGCCAUUUGUCCCUUUCGCAGAAGCACAGGAGCCAUAAGGAGGUGGAGUGCUCCCUCUCUCCCGGUGGGCCUGUCCUUCUGUCAGCACCAAGUGAUGUCCAGCCAGCAGCUGGCUUGGGAACCAAGACCCUGGUCUUCUGAUUUCCCAGCCAGCUGCCUCCCUCCCUGGGAAGUCCCCUACCCACAGCUGGAUCACAGCGGUAUGUCUGGGACCCCACGGCCAGUUUCCUGGCUG